UACGUAGGGUGCAAGCGUUGUCCGGAAUUAUUGGGCGUAAAGAGCUCGUAGGCGGCUUGUCGCGUCGACUGUGAAAACCCGCAGCUCAACUGUGGGCUUGCAGCCGAUACGGGCAGGCUAGAGUUCGGUAGGGGAGACUGGAAUUCCUGGUGUAGCGGUGAAAUGCGCAGAUAUCAGGAGGAACACCGGUGGCGAAGGCGGGUCUCUGGGCCGAUACUGACGCUGAGGAGCGAAAGCGUGGGGAGCGAACAGG
rnacentral:rRNA from 1 species